CAGCAGCCGCGGGAAAACGUAGGGCGCAAGCGUUGUCCGGAAUUAUUGGGCGUAAAGAGCUCGUAGGCGGUCUGUCGCGUCUGGUGUGAAAUCCCGAGGCUCAACCUCGGGCUUGCAUCGGGUACGGGCAGACUAGAGUGCGGUAGGGGAGACUGGAAUUCCUGGUGUAGCGGUGGAAUGCGCAGAUAUCAGGAGGAACACCGAUGGCGAAGGCAGGUCUCUGGGCCGCAACUGACGCUGAGGAGCGAAAGCAUGGGGAGCGAACAGGAUUAGAUACCCGCGUAGUCCCUGUCUCUUAUAA
rnacentral:rRNA from 1 species